rnacentral:rRNA from 1 species
UGAGGAAUAUUGGUCAAUGGGCGCGAGCCUGAACCAGCCAAGUCGCGUGAAGGAUGACUGUCUUAUGGAUUGUAAACUUCUUUUGUAGGGGAAUAAAGAGGGGCACGUGUGCCUCAGUGAAUGUACCCUACGAAUAAGCAUCGGCUAACUCCGUGCCAGCAGCCGCGGUAAUACGGAGGAUGCGAGCGUUAUCCGGAUUUAUUGGGUUUAAAGGGUGCGUAGGCGGCCUGUUAAGUCAGCGGUGAAAUCUAGGGGCUUAACUCCUAAAUUGCCAUUGAUACUGGUGGGCUUGAGUGUAGAUGAGGUAGGCGGAAUGCGUGGUGUAGCGGUGGAAUGCAUAGAUAUCACGCAGAACUCCAAUUGCGAAGGCAGCUUACUAAGGUACAACUGACGCUGAAGCACGAAAGCGUGGGUAUCAAACAGGAUUAGAUACCCUGGUAGUCCACGCAGUAAACGAUGAUAACUGGGCGUAUGCGAUAUACAGUAUGCUCCUAAGCGAAAGCGUUAAGUUAUCCACCUGGGGAGUACGCCGGCNACGGU